UUAUGGUCAUACCGUGUUGAAAGACCAGUUCUCGUAAGAUCGCCAAAGUUAAGCAACAAAGAGGCUGGUCAGUAUCGAGAUGGGUGACCGUUUGUGAAUACCAGGUGUUGUAA